rnacentral:lncRNA from 1 species
AUUUGGCAAGGAUGCACGCGUGGCGCGGUUGAUAAGUAUACAUUGUUGAACGAGACUUGGAACAGGUGCCUGCCAUCAGUGAGCCAACUCAAUAAGGUUUAUUCCAUGUCAGAUGACAACACCGUUGACCUUGGGUCUUCAGAUUUUGAUAGAAAAUACUGUGCUUGAAGACAUCAAUAAAUAAUGUACAUGCCAACACAAACCUGCCAGUCAUCUUGCCAACCAAUCAGCCCACCAACCAGCCAGUCAUCUUGUCUACCAAUCAACCUACCAACCAGCCAUGUUAUCUCAUGGACCAAUCAGCCUACCAACCAGCCAGUCAUCUUGUCAGCCAAUCAGCCUACCAACCAGCCAGUCAUCUUUCAAGCUAGUCAUGCUUGAUAACCAGCAAGUAGAAAGGCAUCAGUUAUCCGUACCAAUCAUGCAGUGGAUUAGAACAGGUAAAUCCCCCACAAAAUGACAUGUUUUGUGGUACCUUUGACCCUUGUCAUCCUGAUCUGUCCAAGAAAACACCUUGAAUACAAAUACAACCAGCCAUUUCCUGCAAGGUAAACAGCUUGAUAAACAGCAACAUCCUUCAUUACCAUGACAACAGCUCUGCCUCAAGAGAGUUCAAGUCCAGCCGACCGUUUUCACCAGAAAUGUAAAAAAAGAUUCAUUUGUACAUUUGCAGAUUUUAAGGUGUCAAAAUAUCAUUGUUUAUCAUUGACCUUUCCUUAAAUUAAGGAGAUAUAUUUUGAAAAAUCUUUAGGUUAUUUUUUUUUAUUCAAAAACAUGUGUAUGGUUACAUGUUUGACCAGUAUCAAAAAGCAAAAACAGGAAGAUUUUUGAAAGUUUGUUCUGAAAGAGAACAUUUCAGAUUUAAGUGAUUUUGAAAGGUCAUUAUGGUGUUAACUUGGAUAUUUUUGUAGCCUUCGUGAGCUUUCCAAGUUUUUUACUCCAAGCGUUAGAACAGGAAAGUUGCCCAUCUUGAGAUGAUGACAGAGAAAAAAAAACAGCAAGGUAUAUAUGCACUCUUCCAACAUUUUGGAUCAUUUCUAAAUGUCAUUCUUUUGUCUAAUGAGUAUCCAAAUUUCCACCAGAGCAGUUGUUUUUUUUGUGAAAUGCUGAAUACAAAAUCUAGUCCCAUUGAUAGCAAAAACAAAAUAACCUCAUAAGGAAAGGAGUAAGAAAACUUGGAUAGGUUUUUAAGCUUUUGUUUUGCAAGCUCUGAUGUGUAAAUGUCUGUAAUGUCUUAUCUUCAAGCAAACUCAAAUCGUUAAUGCUCAUUGGUUGAUACCAU